ACGGAAUUCUCACUUCCGGCGAGCGCUGGCAAGUGUCGUUCUGAAAUUUAAUAAGGAAAGAGAUAGGAAAACGCCGUUCGAAAGACGAAAAAUUGUUUUUUUAAAAAAUUUACGCUACCGACGGCUAUUUUUGGAAUUAAUUCUUCAAGAGUAUCGGUAAGCGAUCACUUUUAUUGAUUUCUUUUUAUUAAAAGUGUUAACAUAACAUUUUAUUUAGCAAAAGUUUGUUUUUUUCCCUAUCUAUUCCUUAUUAAAAUCGUGAAAUACACUUGCUGGGAAUUUCAGAUGCUCAUGUAUAAUAACAAAACAGCGAAUGAUAUAAAUGCCUCAAAACAUAACUCUGGCAUAAAAAAAACAUGAAUACUUCUAUAAUAUGUAUAGUUUUAUUUCUCUGCAUUAUCAAAAUUUAAUAAAAUAGUGAAUUAAUACAAUUUUAAAGUUUAUUUAAUCGGUGUGACAUAAUUUGCCGUGAGA